UAGGGCCAUGGUAGUUCACAGUGGUUCAAAAAUUGUGCCUGCUCGAAUACCUAAGAUGUAUUUUAGAUACCAAAAUUCAUUUUUUUUACACAUUUUACGCGGUUUGUAGCAAGCAAUUUUUAAUAUAUUCAUCGAUGUUUUAUUUAUCGAUGUCUACAGUUAAACGGCUUACAACACUGAACACAAGAACACAGCUGAGUAGAGUUGCCAAGCCUGCUGAUAUUCUUCAUUUCGUUUUAUAUUCAAUUUCGUGUUAAAUUCGUUGAGUGAUUGCUCUGGAUUUGGCGAGAACUGUUUCAUCACUGUAUACACACGGACAACAGUGGACAACAACAAGGGCAACAGUUGAGAUCGUAUGAAAUUCUUUGCUCCAAAGCCGUGCCCUCGGCCUACAAUCAGGUGCAAGAUUUCAAAGAACACGUCCUUGCUAAAAGGCAUAUAGUCAAUGUUUCCUAGAUUAGACGGCUGUAAUACGGAUGUACAGGGAUGGCCGUGACCUAUAUGAUUCCUUUCAGGAUUUCAAACGAAACCAAUGUGAUUUGGUGUUCGUUAUAUUCCAAAUUUCGGGACGCCACCCAGUGUGAUGGGGGUUGGCUGCCUCCCAUAAUCCUUUCGGGGCUUCAUACAACAUACAAUAUCACUUGCAAGCCUCUGCCCUGGAGGAAAUCGGGGUAAUGGAGUCGUCAGUUCUGGAACUGCUAUUCCGAGCACAUUGUCUCUUAUCGGGACGGUGUCAGCGAUGGUCAGAAUAAUGUGUUGAGGGGAAUUUCUGCGGCCUGCAGCAAGAUGCACAUUAAUCCCAGGAUGUAUCACACGGCUUCUUUCCCCACUGGCCUUCUAUCUCAGCACAAUGGAUAUAACAAUGCGGAUCAGGCGAUCAGCGUACCAGUGUCCACACCAAUGAAACGCAGCUCUUUCUGGUCAUCCAUAGAGACAUUCAAGGGACGGGCAACCUGGACAUUGAUCUUCUACUUACAGUAUAUGUCACAUGUUUUCACGUAGCUACCGCGCCGAAUCGUAUCCGGACUCGGGCCAAAAAUGCACCAAGCUGAUGCCCAGAGUCACCCAGCAAUAAAAGAAAUAUUGCCUCUGGUUUUGAAACCACAAAAUCCAUCAACAUUUUUUCCCUGACUUCCACAAAUGAGCUGCUGUCCUACUUAUCAUAAAUAAGGCCUAAUGAGCAAAAUUUAAAUGACAGCGGACCCACAUAAACGGAUAUAAAUAAGUUACAUUUAAAUUCGACAUGUCAAGGAUCUCUGGGAUGUAUGUGCUAGAUGUAAAUGCUUGUAGGAAAUUCCCUGGACUUGUUAGCCUCUCCAUCGAUAGAUGUCGGGUCCUGCAUUCAGGCCAUUAACAAUUCAUUGUAGAUUUUAGCUUUGUUUUCUGUUCCUGACUUUUGACACAGGAUACGAGUAUUAUAUUACGUAAAGUUAGAAAAUGCACUUUAUGUUUUAGAGAUAAACAUUUUCAUUUCGAAAUUCCCUCAAAGGCAAAUAAUAUUUUUAGCAAUUUUCUUCGCACAUCUAAAUGCAAUUUCUGCAUGCUGUUUGCCUUGGAAUUUCGUGAAAUGCCUUUCGAGUUCCUGUGCCAUGCCGGAGCACACGUGCCCCAUCCAAGAGGCAUAGCUGCGUUGACAUGUCGCCCCUUGUAGAGGCAGGGAAGGAAGUACCCUCCAGACAGCAGAGGACGAGGGUAUUCCCAUGGAGACGGGCCUCAAUGUCGCUUUCAAGUGGGAGCAGGGUUUUCUUUCCUUUUUGGAUGUACUUCUUUGCCUUUUUUUCCUUUAUUCCUUUUACUUUUUAUGGUCAUAUCAAAAUCCCGAAAACUGCAAGAGGGUCUGGAGUGCUUCCCUGACAUAACAAUGCUCAUUUCCUCACAGUCAAGAGUGUACGAGUAAGACAAUAUGGCUUUCAA